UGGAAGGUUCUGGAAUGAUGAAAAUACAAUGAAAGGAACAAGGAACUUCAUGGUAGAGUAGGAAGACUAUUGAACUGGCAGUCAAGAGCCUGUAAUCUUGUGUCAUUUUUGACAUUAAGCAGAUGUGAAAAUUUUGAACCCAGUCAGUAUAGAUUUCAUGUGUGACUGUUUCUGGAUAUCUUCUCAGACUGGGACCUACCAAGGCAAAAGAGCGAUGAUGUGGAGCUCUCUCAGAACAACAGAAUAUAACAGAGCCUCUUGGAAGAGAUCUGCAAUCACUUAAGAGAUCUUGGUCUGACUAUUCACAUUGGGAAGAACAAAAUGGAUAAAGAACAUCAUUCUAUAAAGUUUGUCCAUGAAUAUGUAUAUAUGGGACAGAGAAUACGUAUGGACAAUGAGCUGGGUCCUGAAGUAAGGUGGUAUAACUGAAAAAUUGCAAAGGUCCUUCGUUGACCCCAAGCUUCUCCAUGCAAGUUUGUAGUUAAAAUUGCAUCUGCAACAUGUACAUAAAAGUAUCAAAGCAUGCUACAACUGCAUGUUGCUAUCAUUUUUCUUAUCACAAUUAUUAUUAUCAAUUUAUGAUAAAG
rnacentral:lncRNA from 1 species